UGUAACUAUCACAGUGUAGCAGCACACUGUUGGUGUUCCCACUAUGUAACUAUCACAGUGUAGCAGCACACUGUUGGUGUUCCCACUAUGUAACUAUCACAGUGUAGCAGCACACUGUUGGUGUUCCCACUAUGUAACUAUCACAGUGUAGCAGCACACUGUUGGUGUUCCCACUAUGUAACUAUCACAGUGUAGCAGCACACUGUUGGUGUUCCCACUAUGUAACUAUCACAGUGUAGCAGCACACUUUUGGUGUUCCCACUAUGUAACUAUCACAGUGUAGCAGCACACUUCUGGUGUUCCCACUAUGUAACUAUCACAGUGUAGCAGCACACUUUUGGUGUUCCCACUAUGUAACUAUCACAGUGUAGCAGCACACUGCUGGUGUUCCCAUUAUAUAACUAUCACACAGUGCAGCAGCACACUGCUGGUGUUCCAACUACCUAUCACACAGUGUAGCAACACACUGCUGGUGUUCCCACUAUGUAACUAUCACAGUGUAUCAGCACACUGGUGUUCCCACUACGUAACUAUCAAACGGUGUAGUAGCACACUGCUGGUGUUCCCACUACGUAACUAUCAUACAGUGUAGCAGCACACUGCUGGUGUUCCCACUACGUAACUAUCAUACAGUGUAGCAGCACAUUAUGGGUGUUCAUAAUAUGAAUAACUUCACUACCUCCCCGGCUCUUCCUCUCCCAUCGAAACAACAGCCCCUCCGACUCAACAGCCCCUCCCCCCCCCCUGAACAUUUAGGAAAGUGAGUGUUCUGUGGUGUUGAAAUAAACAUUGAGUGCAGAGUUAAUUAUCUAAGUAAUAUUUUAAAACAGUUGAAGUAGAAUCCCCAGUAAUGUGAGUUUCGUACUAAAGGAGGAAGAGGAGGAGUAAGAGUAGCAGCAGGAACAACAACAGGGACAACAUCAAAGCAGAUGCGGUCUGUCAGCCUCGGAGGAUACUAACAAGACUGGUCAACCUUCUGCAGGGUGGGUCUCUCGCAUCUGGAAGGAGCACUUCAGCGUGCCUUCCUCAGAAGUGUGCAUGUUGUUGAUUACUACUACUACUACUACUGGGUCAGCAACUAAUUAUCAAGAGGUAACCUCUCCCAUCAAGGUCAUGCACAUGUCAAGUUGAUGCUUUCUACUCUCAACCAUCAACACAAUCAACACCUGUCUUUCUCUUGGCUUUAUUAUAUUUAUAUAUUAAUAAAAUAUUUGCUUUUU